rnacentral:misc_RNA from 1 species
CGCACAUUGCGCCCCUUGGUACUCCGAGGGGCAUACCUGUCCGAGCGUCAUUGCACCUCUCAAGCUCCGCUUGGUCUUGGGACCCGCCCCCUCCCCGGGGCGGCCCCGAAAAGCAGUGGCGGUCCGGUGAGACUUCAAGCGUAUGGAAUUUGACCGGGAACGGUCGUUCGUUUGGAUCGCUCGAGCCGCGACCCCGCCAGGUCAACCCCUCGAAAUCUUUCAGGUUGACCUCGGAUCAGGUAGGGAUACCCGCUGAACUUAA